rnacentral:rRNA from 2 species
UGGGGAAUUUUGCACAAUGGGGGAAACCCUGAUGCAGCGACGCCGCGUGAUUUAGAAGGCCUUCGGGUUGUAAAAAUCUUUUCUAUGGGAAGAAAAUGACAGUACCAUAGGAAUAAGGACCGGCUAAUUACGUGCCAGCAGCCGCGGUAAUACGUAAGGUCCGAGCGUUGUCCGGAAUCAUUGGGCGUAAAGGGUACGUAGGCGGGUAAGCAAGUUAGAAGUGAAAUCCUAUAGCUCAACUAUAGUAAGCUUUUAAAACUGCUCAUCUUGAGGUAUGGAAGGGAAAGUGGAAUUCCUAGUGUAGCGGUGAAAUGCGCAGAUAUUAGGAGGAAUACCGGUGGCGAAGGCGACUUUCUGGCCAUAACCUAACGCUGAGGUACGAAAGCGUGGGUAGCAAACAGG